UACGUAGGGUGCAAGCGUUAAUCGGAAUUACUGGGCGUAAAGCGUGCGCAGGCGGUGAUGUAAGACAGAUGUGAAAUCCCCGGGCUCAACCUGGGAACUGCAUUUGUGACUGCAUCGCUGGAGUACGGCAGAGGGGGAUGGAAUUCCGCGUGUAGCAGUGAAAUGCGUAGAUAUGCGGAGGAACACCGAUGGCGAAGGCAAUCCCCUGGGCCUGUACUGACGCUGAGGAACGAAAGCGUGGGGAGCGAACAGG
rnacentral:rRNA from 1 species